rnacentral:rRNA from 1 species
UACGGAGGGGGCUAGCGUUGUUCGGAAUUACUGGGCGUAAAGCGCGCGUAGGCGGCUUUGUAAGUUAGAGGUGAAAGCCCGGAGCUCAACUCCGGAACUGCCUUUAAGACUGCACCGCUAGAAUUGUGGAGAGGUAAGUGGAAUUCCGAGUGUAGAGGUGAAAUUCGUAGAUAUUCGGAAGAACACCAGUGGCGAAGGCGACUUACUGGACACAUAUUGACGCUGAGGUGCGAAAGCGUGGGGAGCAAACAGG